rnacentral:rRNA from 1 species
AGGGCACCACCAGGAGUGGAGCCUGCGGCUUAAUUUGACUCCACACGGGAAAACUCACCCGGCCCGGACACCGUAAGGAUUGACAGAUUGAGAGCUCUUUCUUGAUUCGGUGGGUGGUGGUGCAUGGCCGUUCUUAGUUGGUGGAGCGAUUUGUCUGGUUAAUUCCGAUAACGAACGAGACUCUAGCCUGCUAAAUAGGCAGUGGAUUAUUCGUCCACUGUACUUCUUAGAGGGACAAGCAGCGUCUAGCUGCACGAGAUUGAGCAAUAACAGGUCUGUGAUGCCCUUAGAUGUUCGGGGCUGCACGCGCGCUACACUGAAGGAAUCAACAUGCUUCUCAACCUUGGCCGGAAGGUCUAGGUAACCCGUUGAAACUCCUUCGUGAUUGGGAUAGGGAAUUGCAAUUAUUUCCCUUGAACGAGGAAUUCCCAGUAAGUGCGGGUCAUCAGCUCGCGCUGAUUACGUCCCUGCCCUUUGUACACACCGCCCGUCGCUACUACCGAUUGGAGGUAGAGCAGA